UUUGCUAUUAGUGACAAGCUAAAA
rnacentral:snRNA from 1 species